rnacentral:piRNA from 1 species
UAGCCAAGGAGAGUGGGCCCAAGGCAGU